UACGAAGGGGGCUAGCGUUGUUCGGAUUCAUUGGGUUUAAAGGGUGCGUAGGCGGAAUAAUAAGUCAGUGGUGAAAGCCUGUGGCUUAACCAUAGAAUUGCCAUUGAUACUGUUAUUCUUGAGUAUAGUUGAAGUGGGCGGAAUGUGUAAUGUAGCGGUGAAAUGCUUAGAUAUUACACAGAACACCAAUUGCGAAGGCAGCUCACUAAGCUGUUACUGACGCUGAGGCACGAAAGCGUGGGGAGCAAACAGG
rnacentral:rRNA from 1 species